UACGGAGGGUGUAAGCGUUAUCCGGAUUUACUGGGUUUAAAGGGUGCGUAGGUGGGUUGGUAAGUCAGUGGUGAAAUACUUUCGCUUAACGAAGGAACUGCCAUUGAUACUACCAGUCUUGAAUACAGUGGAGGUAGGCGGAAUGCGUCAUGUAGCGGUGAAAUGCUUAGAUAUGACGCAGAACACCAAUUGCGAAGGCAGCUUGCUACACUGUUAUUGACACUGAGGCACGAAAGCGUGGGGAUCAAACAGG
rnacentral:rRNA from 1 species